CCAAGCAGUGGGUUAAAAGCUUCUAAAAUAAAGGACUGUUGCCUGCUCACUUCAAAGAUGUCCUAAAGAAUCAUGAGUCAUGACCCUGUCCUUUUAUGGAACUGGAAUGUUGGCAAAAAAGAGAAUAAUGCCAUGUUGUGUAAAAGACUUUUAAAAAUAGUUUCACACUUUUUAAAGAUCCUUUUUUUUAAUGAGACUUGCUUGAUUUAACUAUAUUUGUUUUGUAGCUAGGUCAUAGCGGUCACUCAAAUAGGAAAUGCCUUGCUCCUCUAGUCUUUCUUUGUUCACUUACCCAUUUUCUUACAAUGAAUGGAAUGAUUAGAUCAAUAGUCUCAAAACAGAGGAUUUAGUAGGAAAAUAUACGAGUCCCCUUCAUCAAAUGUGGAAGUUAUUUGGCAGUUGUUUGUCCAUAGUGGAAUCAAGUAGCAACAAAAACUAAGAUCAUUAUGAGAAAAGUACUGUUGGAAUCUACUAACGCCAUCCUAUUAAAAGCCAUUUUCCCCUGGCACGGCUGAUGCAAACAAAAUUAGCUUUCAAAUUUGUACUAGUAUUUCAAAUUGCACUUUAUUCUAUAACAUGUUUAAGAGAAGAAAAAGGAAAAUUACCAUUAUUUUGUGAUUCAUGAAUGACAGAUAUUAGAUGAUAUAAUUUCUUUUGCAGGAGCUUAUUGGAUCUGUUAGCAAAGGAGAAUUGUCAAACAAAUGAGUAUUCAUGUAUGAAUGUACCAAGUUCGACUGCUGAGGUGACGUCGAAGAAAGCAUCAGCACGGUCAAGAAAUGCUCCUGUUGCUCCAGAAAAAAAGACCCCACAUUCAAUGAGAUCAAGACGAACUGCAAAUUGGGCUCGACCUAAUCAUUAUGAUGAUGGACACUCCAGGAAGAAAUUUCAAUCUGUUCUUCUUCCACGCCCAAUUCUUCCAUAACACGUUUGCUGCAUUAUAUAUGGUUGCAAUAGACUGCUGCUGAAAGCAGCUUAAGAUGUUUUUGCCCAUAUAGACGACUUUUUUUCGUAUUUGUCUGUCAAUGACUUCGGCAGUGAUUUGGUCUCGAAGAAUGCAACUCUAGAUUUGAAGAAAGUGGGACGGCGUAUUUUUGUAUUUAUCAUUGGUGGGGCAACUCGAUCUUGGGUAAGACUUAUCAGGCAUUUCUCAGUUUUGAAUUGAUAAUUGGAUAUGGCCAGCUUGUUUCAAGUUGCUUUGUCAUGUUUGGGAUAUUUAGUGGUGGCGUUACGGAAUGUAAUUUUUCAGCUACGAGCUUCCCACAAGCUCACAACCAAACUCGGAAGCGAAGUUGUUCUCGGUUGUACUAGUUUGGAUGAUCCUCCACAGUAUACAACGAAACUGAAGACGCUGUCUGAAGCAGUAACAGAAGUUCCACACGAUCACUACGUAUGGAAGAUUGAACAAGGCUGGUUUUGUUUCUCAAUAAUCACGACGAACUGGCAGCAAGUAUAGCUGGAGAGCAGCCG